UGUCAGGUGUGAGGUCAGUGGAAGACAGGCAGGGAUACUAGCCCUCUUGAGGGAAACUAGCCUGCUUGCCGCUUGCUGAUUCUGAAAAGAGCUAAGGGGAGAUCUCUAACUCAAGACUCCAGCGAGUUCAGAGUCAGCUUACAUCAGCAGGCAGACUGCCCCAGUUAUAGGGCAAACAGAGGAAACAGGGAAAGAAGGAAGACCUUCCUUUGGCCUCGGUUGACCUCUGCAGGGCUAACGGGAGGACUUUUGAGUUAGGAAUGUCAGUCAGGUGAUUACUAACCAUCUCUGGUGGCUGGCCAUUCCUGGGUUGAGAGGGAAGGGAGGAAAAAGAAAAAAAAAUCUAGAGAAACGAGUUACUUAAGUUUCAGGAACCAAAUUACUUUCUGGGAAUCAGCAUUGUUAAACCAACACGGAGUUCCUAUAUAAAACGGCCUGGGCCUGGCUAAUACCAAGUAACCUAGUAAUGUUCUUGGCCAAAUGCGUAACUGCUUCCCCACAAAGCUUUUCUCUGAAGCAUCCGCACCUCUGUGUCCUCUGCUCUGCUGGUUAGAGUUCAGAUUCCUACUUUGGCAACAAGGACUGGAUAGCUUGGCUCUCCCUACCCUGCAGCUUAUGGUGAAGAACUCUCGGCUCCUUCAGCACCGUGUCUGCCUGCUUACUGCCAUGCUUCCCCGCCCUGAUGAUAGUGAACUAAAGCUCUGGAAUUGGAUUCUCUGUUCAACCUUGGCUGUUCUGGAACUCACUGCUGUAAAUAGAUCAGGCUGGCCUCAAACGCAGAGGUCUGCCAGCCUCUGCCUCCCAAGUGCUGGGAUUAAAGGUGUGUGCCUCUACCUCCCGGCUUCAGGUUCAUUUUUAUUUUUGAUGUUUUACAUGGCGUUGCUUGGCGUGUUUUUCUUCCACUGUCCUUUGAGCUUUUAGUUGACUGAAUGAUCAUCAGCAAAUCAGGUCAUUUCUACAACCAACAUUUAGAGCUACAGAGACUCUACAGAGAGCUGGGGACGGAAAACACUUAACUGGAAGAAAGGUCGUAAGGGAUGGGAACAAGUAAAUAAUCUCGCUGAGAACACCAAGGACCAACCACAAGCCUCAUCACCACAGGGGGUAAAAGUUGACACAACCUAAUUUUGCUGGACAAUUUGAUAUGGUAUUCUAAAAUUUUAAAUGUAAUCUACUGGAAUCUGCUCCACAAACACUCCAAAAUGCAACGAUAAAUGAGAAGGCUGAACCCUGCGGCGAGGCUGAUGUUGCAUUCCAUUUGUGUUGUCUGAGAUAGGGGGAUGGAUGGUUUGAAACUCUUGCUCCUCCAGGCCCGGCUUCCCAAGGACUGAGAUGAUAGGUGAGAACCACCACACCCAGAUCCUAGAAGGUGAGUUUGAAAGAAGGAAAAAAAUAAAUAAAUAAAAUAAAAUAAAGGAGAUAGUUCAGCUGGUCACCAGAACACCUCAGGACAACUGAGAAACUGGAGAGCUGGGGAGUGUCCACAUAAUGAAACAAAAUGGAACUAGGAAAACGGAGGUGGGGCUGUGUUUUCUGCAGAAAAAGCCUCAGAAAAGGCAAGUUGCAAAAGGAUCUGCACACAUUAGGCCUGUGUCGUGGCCCAUUCAGUGACGUAGAAUGUAAGAUAGAUCAGACUCAGUCACUGAGUGUGGUGCAGGCCUGUGAUCCUACUACUUCGGAAGCUGAGGUAGGAGGAUCAGGAGUUCAAGGCCAGCGUGGACCAGUGUGAGAUCCUGACUGAGGCACAAGACAGUCCUGUCGUCACAGGCCACCCUUGUGUUGUUCUGGAUAUGUUUACCUUCCUCUCCACUCCCAGUCCUUUAUCAGCACUAAUAUCAUCUAUAUUUCUACAAUUUCAUUACUUCAGGAAUAUCCUACAGGUCUGAGAAGGUAGCUCAGUUGGUUAGGUGCUUGUCUAGCACGAAGCUUAGAGUUCGGUUCCCAGCAUCUGAUACGUUGGUCCAGUACCUGGAACGUGGAGGCAGGAGGACCAGAAGUUCAUGUUCUUAUCAGCUACAUUUCAAGUUGAAGGCCAGCUAUACUGAGA